GGAGUUGUGGCUCAGUGGUAGAGCACUCACCUGGCGUGUGGGAGAAACUGGGUUCUAUCUUCAACACCA
rnacentral:tRNA from 1 species